rnacentral:rRNA from 1 species
UACAGAGGGGGCGAGCGUUAUUCGGAAUUAUUGGGCGUAAAGGGCGCGUAGGCGGCUUUGCAAGUGACGGGUGAAAUCCCUCGGCUUAACCGAGGAACUGCCUGUCAGACUGCAUGGCUUGAGACCGGGAGAGGUGAGUGGAAUUCCCAGUGUAGCGGUGAAAUGCGUAGAUAUUGGGAGGAACACCAGUGGCGAAGGCGGCUCACUGGACCGGUACUGACGCUGAGGCGCGAAAGCGUGGGGAGCAAACAGG